rnacentral:sRNA from 1 species
GGGAUCACACAUUGAGCCAAAGGCAGAUGCUUAACGACUGAGCCACACAGGCACCCCAAGGAUGACUUUCUCUGAGAGAGGAAAACUGUUCUUCAAGUACAAGUAGCUGUGCUCCCUUGCUAGAACCUCCAAACAAGCUCUUGAUGCCCAUUUGUAAGAGAACAUAGGGUAGUCAAGCUUCCAAGACUCCAGACGCAUCCAAAUGAGGCACUGCAUAUGGGAGUCUGCCUUUCCUU